rnacentral:rRNA from 1 species
AGGACGACGCCGGCGGCGUGCCUAAGACAUGCAAGUCGAGCGGGGAGACUUCGGUCUCCCCGCGGCGGACGGGUGAGUAACGCGUGGGCAACCUGCCCUUCAGCCCGGGAUAACUGCCUGAAAGGGCGGCUAAUACCGGAUGCGGUGAAACGGACGCAUGUUGGUUUCACGAAAAUUACGGUGCUGAAGGAUGGGCCCGCGUCCCAUUAGCUGGUUGGUGAGGUAGCGGCCCACCAAGGCGACGAUGGGUAGCCGGCCUGAGAGGGUGGACGGCCACACUGGAACUGAGAAACGGUCCAGACUCCUACGGGAGGCAGCAGUGGGGAAUAUUGGGCAAUGGGCGAAAGCCUGACCCAGCAACGCCGCGUGAAGGAAGAAGGUUUUCGGAUUGUAAACUUCUGUCCUCAGGGAAGAAGGAAGUGACGGUACCUGAGGAGGAAGCCCCGGCUAACUACGUG